rnacentral:rRNA from 1 species
UACGUAGGGUCCGAGCGUUGUCCGGAAUUAUUGGGCGUAAAGGGCUCGUAGGCGGUUUUUCGCGUCGGGAGUGAAAUCUUACAGCUUAACUGUGAACUUGCUUCCGAUACGGGCAGACUUGAGGCAUUCAGGGGAGAACGGAAUUCCUGGUGUAGCGGUGAAAUGCGCAGAUAUCAGGAGGAACACCGGUGGCGAAGGCGGUUCUCUAGUACGGUACUGACGCUGAGACGCGAAAGCGUGGGGAGCGAACAGG